CAGAAAUCAGCCGGCGAUGCACACCUCUUCCGAAUUGGGAAGUCUGGCCUAAUCGCAGUGCUGUGCUGAAAGCAUUAGGAACAAGGACACAUCAUUAGAGCCGGCCCAGCCAUUUGCUGCAGACUGUCAUCCCACAGUCGAGCAGCAUCCACCCAGCAAACAAGGACAACAGCCGGGAGGAGUGCAUAAUUCAUCAAAAUCAGCAACAGGAACGGAAUCGAACAAAAGUUGACUCUCCCAAGGACGGGGUGAUGGAAAUCGUGCCGGGGGUGUACAUAAGUGUACUAUAUCGAAUGGCUUCUGCCGUUACCUGGACUACGAUUGUAAUUGCAGGCCAUGGCUGCCUUUUGGUUAGGGGCAUAAUCAAAAAUGCGUGUGCACCACUCGGCCGAACGACGCAUAAUCCCAAAUCGCACCGAGGGGCAUCAGCAACAUCGGCUUUAGUACACUUUGAAAAAUAGCUAGCUAAUUAAUUCAAAUUAAUUGAUAAAGCUAACGGAACUUGAAGUCCUUCUUGCGAAAGAAGGAAGCUACUAAACGAUACAGAAGGUACACGUUAU
ensembl:ncRNA lncRNA:CR45111 long non-coding RNA:CR45111